CUGUUUCGCUACGGUCAAAUCGCGGACAAAAUUAAGAUGGCUUCCACAAUUUUUUUGGAAAUUUUGUGUUUUUAUCAUUUUUUAAGUUAUUGAAACUUUUUUUGUGUUGUUUUAAUUUUACUGAAUUAAAAAGUAUUAAAACGUUCUACUUUUCCCCUUUUUAAAUAUAUAAAUAUGUUAUACAUGUGUGUUAUAAAUUUCGAGUUAUUUCGUCGAACAAAACACACAAAACUAAAAAAAACAUUAUUUUUGGCGAAAGUAUACCAUCUUUCCAACCUUGUGCCAACACCGCGCUACUAGCUACGGACUUGAAAAUUGGUAUGGGGGGCCUGGAAACAUGGUUCUAUUGGCCGGUACCGUGCACCGUUCGUCUCGCAAACUAUAAACUACUUAAAUUUUAAGUUAAAGUCUUCUUUAGGCGCUAAAAAAGAGGAGAAAAAGUUGCCAAAGUGGUGCACAGCAAUUUGAUGUAGUGUGAUCCCUUUUCUGUUUAAUUAAAUAAUUAUCUAAACUUCUAAGCAAGUCACAGUGAUGGCGUUUAAUGUUUUAGUAGGUAUGGUUUUUCCCAGCAAAAUUACGGCAACCCGGUGUUUACUUUUGACUUGAUUGCUCGACCCGGGAAUUCUAAUCCGAAACCGGGAUUUUUUAAAAAUGUUGGAAUAAGCGAGACAACAGUGUCUCAGCAAUUUUGAAGCUAGCUAAAGUUUGGCAGAGCACGAGUUAAGACUUUGGUGGGCUCUUUCAAGAUAAAAUUGAUGAAAUCAAAGAUGUUUAUGGCUAGCUAGCUAGCUUAUCUUGGCUUUAUCACAAGAUUGGGUGCUAUUUUAUACAAUUUAUAAAGAAACACAAAAUGAUUGCUUUGUAUAUAUUUAAUGUAUAUAAUAAAUAAACUAUUUAUGCACAA